AGAGGGGCAGAGGGAGAGAGAGAGUCUUAAGCAGGCAGGUUCCAUCCUCAGCACUGAGCCUGAUGCAGGGCUCCAUCUCACCACCCUGAGAUCAUGACUUGAGCUGAAAUCGAGAGUUGGACGUUUAACCGAGUUACCUGGAUGCCCAGAGGUCAUCUUAAUAUAUUAACUGGCAAACUUUUUCUUUUAGGUCAUGUGGUAUUACUAAUUCUCUGAUUGAUAGGGCAUUGAGGCAUAAUAGAACAGGGCUUUGGAAUUAGGGAACCUAGCAGAGUUUGAACAUCAGUUGUUUACUAAUCAUGUGAUAGUGAGUUUAUUUAACUUCUGUUCCAGGGGGUUGCUAUUAAAUAUAUUUUUCCUUCCUGUUCACUCAUUUUUCCUAUUUGGUUGAAGGGGCUGCUGCUGGUAAUGACAGCAUGGCAGCAGUAGAGAGAAACUGGCCAGCAUUAGGUUUGUUACAUUUUUUUCUUCUGAACUUUCCAGUACUUAUUUUACUAGUUUUCUUCUUCUGGUGUGGAGGGAAGCACUGUAGUUUGUUCCUCAUAUUAGCACAUCAGCUCUUUUAUAUCUAAAAUCUUAUAUAAUCAAAUAUGAUAAUAACAUUCGCUUUAACAACAUGAAUUCUUCUACUGAACCAUUGCUUAUGUUAUGACAUUUUUCAUUGCAGUGUGUUUUAUUUUCAGAUCAAGAAAAGACUUUUUUUUAUGGGUAGCAGAUACCCAGCCAAGUAGAUGAAUCAGUUUUUCCACCUCCUUGCCCCAUUUCUAUGCAACCUCAGAUUUCUGCUUGCAAAGAAAGUUACGGAUUUGUUCAUUUAGGAGUACUAGACUUCUUGGUUGUUGAUUACAAAUUUGAUUUCUAUUCACAGGACUGUAAUAACAUGUUACUUGAUUUUAAAAUAUGAGUAUUGAACCUGUAAAAUGUUCAGCUUGCAGACAAGGGCAAUGUGGUAAAGGCUAUCCCAUGAUGAAAAAUGAAUAUCACAUCGUCUAUUAUCAAACUUUCAGAGCAAGUAUUCUUAAAACUAUUGUCCUAAUUUUGGGCCAGAAGCUUUUAAAAAGAGAAGAAAAACAAAAACAAAAAAACAAGCAUUAACAAAGGAACUUGUUACCUGAGAAAACUUUCUCUUUUGGUGUUCAUUUUGUGGGUGUUUUUAUAAAAUUUUUUAAGUUAUUGAAAGAUUGAAACUUUAUAGAGAGCAUACAGUAGUUUAACCUGUAUUGUAAAAGUAUCUUCUGAAAUCUUUGUGACAUUGAGAUGAAGAGGUGACUUUUAAGUGUAUGUUUUAAUGUUCAGGACUCAUUCUUUCCUAAAAGAAUUUUUUUUAAAACGUGUUAAUUUAAAUAUUAGGUACUUGAAUGGUUCCAUAUAGUUUUACACAUAUAGCACUUGGUAUGUGUGUAUUACAUAUACUUGCAUUUACUAGCCUGAUAAAACAAGACUUUGGAAGUACAAAUAAUACUUAACAUGGUCUACCAUGAUGCUAAUUUGCCUAAAAAGAGUUAAAGUGUUACUAAUGAUGUUGCAUAUAAUGAUGAUACAGUACUUUCUAUUUUUAAUGGCAUUUAAUACUUUUCCCUUGGUUUCAGUAUAAUAUUCAUGGGAGGAAAUUCAGAAAAUACAGGAAAGUAUAAUAUAUGUGCUGCUGAAGUGAGCACAAUACAGGAAAGUAUAAAGAAAAAAAUACUGUUAUUUAAGCCAUAACUUUGAAAGCUGUGUUUCUGUCUCUUGCUGCCUGUUUUCCUGUUACUUGGACUCUCUGUGUCUCUAAGUGUCGAUGUACAUAUGCAUGCAUACAAUAAAACACAGAUUUAAAGGUCUAACAGAAAAUACUGCUAAAUAUUUUCCUGAUCUCAGAGUGAAUGAAGUCGUAAAACAAAAAGAAGAAAACAUUGAAAAUAUAAGUAUUUUUUUAAAAAGGAUGUAAAAUUAAGGCAAGCUAGGAAAAAUACUACAUCAGUCUGUUUCAGUUUCCUUAUUUAUUCCUUCGUUAGCAGGUGGAACUGAAUUAUACAAGAUUGACCUUUUGGUGUAUGGUUUUGUUUUAACAAAACAUUCUUAAACUUUUAAACAGGAAAAAAUUAUCAGUUAGAACUGUUCAUACUUUUUCUUGUCAGUCAUUAAUGCACUGACCAUCUAUAAGUAAGUGUCCCAUUUUAGCUUUUAUUUCAACCUUUCUUGCCUCUAAAACCUGGACCCAAACUGUUAUUAAAUAAAAUAUCUUGGUGUUUUUUCAGUAGUGAGUGGUGAAAUAAACAGGAAAUGAGAAAUAAAGAGGAGAGCCAAAAUGAACACUAAUAAUUUAGAAGGUGAAUAAUCAACCCUUGAAUAAUUGAACAUUCGCUGUGUGGACACAGCCAUAGAAGCAUGUGUGCAGAAUUUGAGGACAGUAACUUUCAGCAUUUGGCAUUAAAGAUCCAGUGAGUGAGUGGUGCUGGGUUGUCCGUUGAAGUACUCUCACUGGGGACUGACUCCCUUAGUCCUGUCCUACCUAUUGGGGUGUUGUAAAAGAGCAAAUGUAAAAAGCACUAUAGACGCAAUGAAGCCUUACCAGUACAAACAAUAAUGAUUUUAAUUGUGGAUUUUAUCCUUUAAAAAAAACAGUGGUUCAGUAUUGCUUUAAGGUAAUAUCUUCAGAACAGGAGCAGCUUCUUACAUUCUUCACUCUUUGGUUAUCUCCUAGUAAUUUCCUAUAAUUUUGUUUGUAGAACACAUCCCAGACCUUUGUCUUGAGUUUUGUCUGUGUGUUAAAAAAUUGUUGGGAGGGCCCCCUCUAGUGUCUGAAGUAUCCAUUUUUAAAACAUUUUUGUCACUCCUAGAAGUUUUAGGAAUUAAACUAGCUAUUUUUCCUUUCACAUCUGGACAUAAUUUCUUUUUUUUCUUUUUGUGGGGGGAGGAGGAGGUUAUUUUCCUUUUUUAAAAAGGUCACUGGAAUUAUGGGUAGGGUGUGGAUUAAGGGCAGCAGAAAACAUGGGAAAGGAAGGCUCAAAAUGCCAUUUCUACCUUUUUAGAAAUAGUUAUUUUUAAGUGAGCUGGAUUUAGGCCAAACUAUACAGUGUCAUGUUGUUUUGUUUUAGUUUACAUUUGUUUCUGAAUUAGGUGCAGCUUAAAAAUACUUUGUUUUGGAAUUCUUUAUGGCCAUCAGAUCUCAUUUUAGAGUUCUUCGCAGUUUCUGAAAGCAGCAGUUUCAGUAGAAAAUGGCUUUCAAGUAGAGCCUGGUUUUCUUCAUGGAAGUUGUGUUGCUUUGUUACUUUUUGGUACUAUUGCUGUUAUCUUUUUGUAGGUAUACUUUGAAACUAUACUAUAAGUGUUCUAAUGCUGUUGUCAUUUUACAUAGUUCCCAUUGUUUUUCAACCAAGGAAAUAAGGUAAUUCUUUUAAAUUAUUGGCUCUCUGCCACCUCUCCCUGUAAACACACAGCACUCAAACACACAGGCCUUCAGCUAAGAAUCUUGUGAAGGGUUAGAGAAACAGGACCUUUCUCAUUUGACCCAGCUUGAACAAGGAAAGUAGUGUUCUGAAAGCUACAACAUUUAUAAAGGUUCUAGUAAAAAUAUUUCAUGUGCAUGGAGUAAAGAUUAACUCCUUUCAUCUUGUUCUCUAGCAAAUUAAACAAUACAAACAGAUUGUUAGUGCAUUCUUGGUAAUGAAAUGCUUGGGUGAAUUAUAAUCCUAAUUGCUAUUGUUCAUUCCCACAGCUGCAUGUUGACACUUAAAACUGCCUAAGCCACGCAUUCUUCAGCCACUAGGAUAAACAGAAGCAUUUUGAAAUCCAUCAUUUUAUGGCAUCUUAAAUUACAAAUCUGUCAUUGGCUGCCUUGUUUUUAUUUUGUUUCCAUUGUUGAAGAAAUUAGGAAAAAAUGUUACUCCUUUGUAUUUACAUACAAAAUUAUUGUCAAUAGAAUCAUUAUUGGGUUUUUAUGAACAUUAAUUAAUAGUCUUAAUUUUUAAAGGAGGCGGUGGAAUUUAUGUUGCAGGGAAACAAUUUCUAUUUAUGUUAUCAAACUAGUUGAUAUUUUAGGAGCCAGCUUUCUCCAAAAUUUGAAAGAAAGUAAUAGGAUUUCACUUUUCCUCCUUAGUAGAACAGUCUUCUGAAUAUAAAUCUAGAAACUAGAUUUAUUCUGUGAUUUGGCAAGUCAUAUUUAUAUGUGUAAUGGUUCCUUUCAGAUUUGACCCAAACCAUUUAUUAGUCUCUUUCUUUGAAGGUAAAGAAGGAGAGCUAUUUGCAGUGAAUUUAAAAUUUAUAUUUCCUUAUAUUUGAGAAACAGGUUUGAAUACCAAUUAUAGCUGAACCUUCCUUACUUGGGAAAAAAAAAAAAAAUAGAACCUUU